rnacentral:rRNA from 1 species
GUAGUCCACGCCCUAAACGAUGCGAACUGGAUGUUGGGUGCAAUUUGGCACGCAGUAUCGAAGCUAACGCGUUAAGUUCGCCGCCUGGGGAGUACGGUCGCAAGACUGAAACUCAAAGGAAUUGACGGGGGCCCGCACAAGCGGUGGAGCAUGUGGUUUAAUUCGAUGCAACGCGAAGAACCUUACCAGGUCUUGACAUCCAGAGAACUUUCCAGAGAUGGAUUGGUGCCUUCGGGAACUCGAACACAGGUGCUGCAUGGCUGUCGUCAGCUCGUGUCGUGAGAUGUUGGGUUAAGUCCCGCAACGAGCGCAACCCUUGUCCUUAGUUGCCAGCACGUAAUGGUGGGAAC